rnacentral:rRNA from 1 species
AUUGAACGCUGGCGGCAUGCCUUACACAUGCAAGUCGAACGGCAGCACGGGGGCAACCCUGGUGGCGAGUGGCGAACGGGUGAGUAACAUAUCGGAACGUGCCCUGGAGUGGGGGAUAACUAGUCGAAAGAUUAGCUAAUACCGCAUACGAUCUACGGAUGAGAGUGGGGGAUCGCAAGACCUCAUGCUCGUGGAGCGGCCGAUAUCUGAUUAGCUAGUUGGUGGGGUAAAGGCCUACCAAGGCAUCGAUCAGUAGCUGGUCUGAGAGGACGACCAGCCACACUGGGACUGAGACACGGCCCAGACUCCUACGGGAGGCAGCAGUGGGGAAUUUUGGACAAUGGGCGCAAGCCUGAUCCAGCAAUGCCGCGUGAGUGAAGAAGGCCUUCGGGUUGUAAAGCUCUUUUGUCAGGGAAGAAACGGUGAGGGCUAAUAUCCUUUGCUAAUGACGGUACCUGAAGAAUAAGCACCGGCUAACUACGUGCCAGCAGCCGCGGUAAUACGCAGGGUGCAAGCGUUAAUCGGAAUUACUGGGCGUAAAGCGUGCGCAGGCGGUUGUGCAAGACCGAUGUGAAAUCCCCGGGCUUAACCUGGGAAUGGCAUUGGUGACUGCACGGCUAGAGUGUGUCAGAGGGGGGUAGAAUUCCACGUGUAGCAGUGAAAUGCGUAGAGAUGUGGAGGAAUACCGAUGGCGAAGGCAGCCCCCUGGGAUAACACUGACGCUCAUGCACGAAAGCGUGGGGAGCAAACAGGAUUAGAUACCCUGGUAGUCCACGCCCUAAACGAUGUCAACUAGUUGUCGGGUCUUAAUUGACUUGGUAACGCAGCUAACGCGUGAAGUUGACCGCCUGGGGAGUACGGUCGCAAGAUUAAAACUCAAAGGAAUUGACGGGGACCCGCACAAGCGGUGGAUGAUGUGGAUUAAUUCGAUGCAACGCGAAAAACCUUACCUACCCUUGACAUGGCAGGAAUCCCGGAGAGAUUCGGGAGUGCUCGAAAGAGAACCUGCACACAGGUGCUGCAUGGCUGUCGUCAGCUCGUGUCGUGAGAUGUUGGGUUAAGUCCCGCAACGAGCGCAACCCUUGUCAUUAGUUGCUACGAAAGGGCACUCUAAUGAGACUGCCGGUGACAAACCGGAGGAAGGUGGGGAUGACGUCAAGUCCUCAUGGCCCUUAUGGGUAGGGCUUCACACGUCAUACAAUGGUACAUACAGAGGGCCGCCAACCCGCGAGGGGGAGCUAAUCCCAGAAAGUGUAUCGUAGUCCGGAUUGCAGUCUGCAACUCGACUGCAUGAAGUUGGAAUCGCUAGUAAUCGCGGAUCAGCAUGUCGCGGUGAAUACGUUCCCGGGUCU